rnacentral:rRNA from 1 species
AAAUUGAAGAGUUUGAUCAUGGCUCAGAUUGAACGCUGGCGGCAGGCCUAACACAUGCAAGUCGAACGGUAACAGGAAGCAGCUUGCUGCUUCGCUGACGAGUGGCGGACGGGUGAGUAAUGUCUGGGAAACUGCCUGAUGGAGGGGGAUAACUACUGGAAACGGUGGCUAAUACCGCAUAACGUCGCAAGACCAAAGAGGGGGACCUUCGGGCCUCUUGCCAUCAGAUGUGCCCAGAUGGGAUUAGCUUGUUGGUGAGGUAAUGGCU